rnacentral:lncRNA from 1 species
AAAUAAGGCUGCAUGGUACUGUUGAACAGAUGGUGAUACCAUGUUUUCUCCUAGCAGGCAGGAACACUGUUAGUAAAUGCACUAUAUUCAUAAGCAGCUAUUAAGGUAAACCCAAGACCUUGCCCUUUAACUGGCUUAACAUUAUUAAAGAACGAAACAGCUGAAACAGUCAGUAUUCAGAAAGAGCUACCUGCAACCAAUCUACAAAUAAGAUUGCUGGCUGGAGUUAGUUUGUUCCAGUCUACAGCUGGGAGAGGUGUUCCCAUUCAAUCCCUUCUUUUAUGCCAUUCCUUGGAUUUGCAGGCUGCCAGUCCAGCAGGUGGGUAAAUCUCUUACUAAGCUUGAAGAGUGAUGGAGACAAAAAGCCACAAGCAGUCCUGGAAAAUGGGAACUCUGCCCCUUUGUCUGCUGCGAAGCUGCAUCAGUCUGCAGGGUGCAAAAAUGCAUUGUUCAGUAAACCCAGGGAAAACCAUAAGAAGUAUGCUCUGAUCAGCAGCACAAACCACAAAGAGUGCCCAGCAGAUGCCCAAAUACUAUGUUUUCCAUCUCAUUUCGAUAUCCUUGACUCAUGCAUCCUGUCUAAGCUAAUGUUAGUUUCCUGA